rnacentral:misc_RNA from 1 species
ACAUCGCGUCGCCACACCUCGACUCUCCUCCGCUCUCCCAUCUGACCCCCCUCCUGCCUACCGCCUCCUCUCUCCUCGUCCGCUGUGCUGCGUCGUCUGCCCCCACCCCCACCCCUGCCUUUGCCUCUCCCGUCUGCCUCGGCGCCGGCCUUCUCAGUCUCUCGCUCUUGUGCGUUGUCGCCCAUGAAAUACAAUAUCACCGGCAUUGUCUACGUGGUCGUGCAGUUCGUGGCGUUCCUUCUGGUGCUGGCGGGAACGCCGCUAGAGAUGUUUCGUAGUGUCGAAAAGGACGCCUUCUUUAACAAUAUAUGCAUCUCCCUAUGGGGUUUUAAGACCAACUGCUCAGCGAUUCCGUACGACUACACUGUUGAUAAACUGUUUUCCCAUUGCCCUCAAACUCUCGACCAGUUCCACGCUGCACAGGCGUUUGCUAUAAUCUCUAUAUUGGUGUACUUGGCGGCGUUCAUCGCAGGCCUUACGUUGCUGUUCUGCUGCUCCUUCCUCCGCUUGGUCUGCCUGGCGCUGAACAUCGUUGGCAGCGUCACCCUGUGCGUUGUGUGGGCAUUGAUGGUAUUGUCUUUCUACAAGGAAGAAAGCCCUCUUUGCCCGUCAUUGGGUUAUGGCGGCACUUUCGCCUCCGGCUUCGUUCUCUUGAUAGUCUCCUGGGUACUGGAUACCAUCAACAUCAUCCUCCUCCUGCUUCCCUGCACGACCACCGACGAUGCGCAGGAUAAGACAGAGGAGCCGCCGACCGCGCAGGAGUAGGAUAGAGGUAGGACAAGUGAAAGGAGGGCGAGCUUGAGAGCGGCGCGGCCCCUCCCCCACACCGGCGUCCUUGUGGUGGAGCUGGUGUCGGCGAGGAUGAGGGUGCGCAAGCUGCGGGUUCCCGUGUGUGCCCUUCGCCGGCCCAGCCCUCUCGCUCCCUGUCGUGCGCGCGUGCGCGUGCGCGGGCAGCAGCGGCACCGCCGUGCACAGGCACCGCUGCCGAGGGGCGAUUGCAGCACUUCCCCCACGCCUGCGUGUGAUACACGGCGGCUGCGUGUGUGCAGGCGCAUGCGCCCCUGCGACCCUCCUCCCUCUUCUUCCGUGAGCGGCCCCCGCGACCAUCGCUCACUUACGCUGCCGUUGUUCGCGGGUGCCGCCGCACGCUCUCGCCUUACUCGACGCUCGUCUCUUUCGAGCUCGCUCAUGCUUGCUGUUCUCUCCUGCGCGCGGAGAGAGGUGCGUGGCGUGUGCGUGUGCGUGCGCCUCUGCGCCUCCCUCCGCUGCUCGCACCCUCCCUGUGCGCGUGUGUGCUGGCGGAGGCGGCUGGCUGUGGCGACGACGCAGGCACGUGCAGCAGCCGUGCAGCACAGCAGGCGCGUACACGCAUACACACCUAUACACGCGGGAACGGGACUGCAGGCGAGGGGCAGCAGCGGAGAAUGCGCGGCGGCACGAGCGAGUGCGACGGUGGAGCGGAGCAGCGGCGGCGCUGCUUUCCUGCUCGCUCCUCUGGCGUCUGGCUCGAGCCCGUCUGCGUGUGCGCCCCCUGUGUCGCUGUGUCUCCUCGCCUCUCUCCUGCGCGAUUUGUGUCGAUGGCUUCGUUGCUGACGCACCCCACCGAGUCCUCCAGGCUCCGCCGUGUGGAGUUGCCACGCCGUAUGUGACGGGUUGCAGCGCACCGACGCGACUGUGGGGAGAGAAGCACUGCAUCCAGGUCGACUACACUGCAGGGCCUCACAGGGCCCUGACCGGAGGCUGGGCAGCAUUCUCCCUCGGCUCGUGCGGCACGUAGAGCCACCGCUCCCCACGAACGCCCUGCUACCCUUGGUUACCCCCUCCCCACCGACAGAGGCCAGCGCCUCCAUCUUGGAGCACGACCCUGAGGGGGCGGCCCCGCUGGGAGCGCGGCGUGCCGUGCGCCCCGGUGCGUGUGGCGCCGAUGCAGCGGCAGGACGGCUCGUCCUCGACGACGCAGAUGUGGCCGCCGUGCCACAGGGCGUAGGCGGGCCGUGGCUGUACGCGCGCAUCUGCCGGCUUGUGCGUGGUGGCGUGGAGGCGGUGAGAAGGAAGUGCAUGCCUCGCGGACUCGGACAGACAUGCGAAUCAGCACACCUAAACAUAAGCAAAACGACGCGUGCAUAUAUGCACCGAUAUCUAUAUCUAUAUAUAUAUAUAUAUGGGUGUGUGGAUGUCUGGAACGACAAAACCGCCAAACGCCUGUUAUUACGCUGUCCUCGCCUGGCAGGGCGGGGGGCGUGCGUGCGCUUGCUUCUCCUCUCUUGCUUGUCCUGUGUUUCCUUUGCGGCACGCCUUCCUGCGCGCGUGCCUGGUAUUUAUCAUGCUUGCUUCCGUUGUCCGACUCGUUCAAACCAACAGCGUCACCGCCGCCACUGCCGCCCCCCUCCUCCGCGAGAGGGCAGGGUAGGGGGUGCGGGCGGCGCUCCUUGCUGCUGCCCGUGGUGGGGCCGCGCCAUGUGCGUGCAGGUGUGCGCACGGGCAUGCGGGUGCGUGCCGGUGUAUAUGUGUAUGUGUGUGUGCGAGCGCGUGAGUCCGGGGAGUGUGGAGGGGUGUAUGCACUGGUGGAGGAGCAUGCUGACGUGCUGCGGGUCGCGUCCCCGCCGCCCUCGGCCCGGCGCCACGCAGACGCCGUCUGUGCUGCCCCUGUGUGCUGCUCUUCGUUCCCCCACCCCUUCGCUGCGGUGCUGCCCCCCCCCCCACCCACACACACACACCGGCACACACGUACAGGUUGGCCCCUCCGCCCCUCUCGCACCCUCCCCCUGCCCCCUGCCCCCUGCGCACAUGCGGCUCGAGCAGCCUGGCACAGGCGCGCCUACAGGACACCGCGGCUAGGCGAAGGCGUGCAUGGGCGGAGGGAAGGCCAGCGGGUGCGGGGCGUGCCAGAGGGGG